rnacentral:lncRNA from 1 species
UUCUUCCUUCUUUUCUUCUUCUUCAUUGUCUUCUUCUCCUCCACUUUCUCCUCUAAUAGUUUGACCAUGUCUUUCAGAUUCGAUAUGUACGCAGUCGCCUCCUCCAAUAUCGUCGACCUCGUUGCCUGCGCGCAUUAAUCAAGUCAGAACCCUAAUGUAUGUGAUUUGAUUUUUCCUAUAUAUACACAUACCUUUGGGAAAAGAUUGGGAACCAAAGACAUUAGUGCAGCGUAUGAAUCAUUCACAUUCUUUCUUCGAAUCCGCUCGAUCAUUGCAACGUCGCUGGAAGGAUUUAUAUUCCCGGCCAUUACCUUUCCUUUCUCCGGUGAGAC